UCAAAAGCUCCCUCGAUAUCCAGCGACAC
rnacentral:sRNA from 1 species